rnacentral:lncRNA from 1 species
CUCUAGGUCAUCAGGAUGCUGAUUAUCCUCCCUCUCCGACCUCUAGGUCAUCAGGCUGCUGAUUAUCCUCCCUCUCCUUCCUCUAGGUCAUCAGGCUGCUGAUUAUCCUCCCUCUCUGACCUCUAGGUCAUCAGGCUGCUGAUUAUCCUCCCUCUCUGACCUCUAGGUCAUCAGGCUACUGAUUAUUCUCCCUCUCCAGCCUCUAGGUCAUCAGGCGACACAUCUCCUUCGCAUAGAGUUGAUCAGGCUGUUGAUUGUGGCCUGUGGAAUGUUGUCCCACUCCUCUUCAAUGGCUGUGCGAAGUUGCUGGAUAUUGGUGGGAACUGGAACUCGCUGUCGUACACGUAGAUCCCAAACAUGCUCAAUGGGUAACAUUUUCAGCUUCCAGGAUUUGUGUACAGAUUCUUGUGACAUGGGGCCGUGCAUUUCCAUGCUGAAACAUGAGGUGAUGCAGCGGAUGAAUGGCCUGACAAUCGCCCUCAGGAUCUCAUCACGGUAUCUCGUGCAUUAAAAUUGCCAUCUAUAAAAUGCAAUUGUGUUUGAUGUCCGUAGCUUAUGCCUGCCUAUACCAUUAUCCUACCACCAUCAUGGGGCACUCUGUUCACAAUGUUGACAUCAUCAAACCCCUCGCCCACACAAUGCCAUACACGCUGUCUGCCAUCUGCCCGGUACAGUUGAAACCGGGAUUCAUCUGUGAAGAGCACACUUCUCCAGCGUGCCAGUGGCCAUUGAAGGUGAGCAUUUGCCCACUGAAGCCGGUUACGAUGCCAAACUGCAUUCAUGUCCCUGGUGAGGACUAUGAGCACGCAGAUGCGCUUCCCUGAGUCGGUUUCUGAAAGUUUGUGCAGAAAUUCUUUGGUUGUGCUGUCCGGGUAUCCGGGUGGCUGGUCUCCGACGAUCCCGCAGGUGAAGGAGCUGGAUGUUGAGUUCCUGGGCUUGCGUGGU